UUGUCCAUUCUUCACUAUUUUUAUCAGUUUUCUUUGUAUCAUAUUGCAUUUUUAUUCUGUACUCCCUUUAAGAAACUUCUUCUACCUUCUAUCCUUACCUAGCUCUUUUCGUUACAAGAAAUGUAAGUAUUAUUUGCUGUAAAUUGCAAUUUCUCAAGGAAUAUUAAAUUCAUUCUCUAAUAGAUUGGCAUAUUACAACAAUGUAGUUGCUUGAAGGUGCAGACAGUUUCCUAACUCUUUACUCUAGAAGACAAAAUGAGGAAUAUAACAGAAAUGCAUGUAGAACUCUGUAUCAUUACUUUCCAUUUAAAAGUAGACUAUGAGGAAAUGAUCUCUUUGUUCCCACUUACAUGCCAUAAUUAACAGAUUUUUUUCUUGUGCCACUAGAACCUCAACAUUAAUGAAAAUUAUAUUUGACAUCCCACAAUAUAGUUUCCAUUGUGUAUUUAAUGUUUCUAUUAUUAUUUCAGUUCCCAAUUGUAUUUUAUUUGCCCCUGUAAGAAAUCAUUAUUUCUCUUUUCCAAAAUAUUUUAUUUCUCCUUUUCUUUGCAUUUCAGUUUCUUUUUCCCCUUUUCCUCUUCUGCUACCCUUUCAGAUUUAGCUCCAUUAUUUAUCUUAAGUCCUAUUUUCUUUUAAUUGUCCACUAUUUCUGUCACUGUCAUUCAAUAAUUUCUCUGAUUCUACAUGUUCUUUUUUACUUUAUUUCUUUUUAUUUAUGCUACUAAAUGUUUCCUUUUUAUUUGUUUUUAGUGAUAUGUGCUAAAUUAUUGUUUGCUUUUCUCAAAUAUUUUACUUUUAAUCACUUUUCAUUGUGUAUAUGCUCUCAUAUCUGUACUUCUAUCUCCUUCUUCCCAUAUAUAAUAUCAUACUAUAAAGAACUCUAUUAAUUUCACAUAUGUUAUCUUCAUUUAACUUUAUUCUCCCUUUUGUCUUUUUUCAUAUAUUACCUUUUCAAAAUAUUUGUAUAAGUAAGGAUUUCUCUGCAUUCCACUCACAAAUUAUGUUUAUCAUUUAUCAAUGGAAUAUUGAUAUAAUGAUACAAAUAAACAAAACCAUCAUUUUAGCAGUAUUUUCUUCUGAAUUUGCUAUUAGAAUUUAAAUUAAAUGUUACAUAUUAUAACAUUUUAAUCUAUUUUAGUUGCUAAAACUCUGCUGUUCUUCAGUUUCAUUAACUCUCAUUCCCCAUACAUAACUGUAUUCUUCGAAUGAUUUAAAUGUCUGAAUGAAACAAUGAGAAGUCUACUGCUUGUAUCUACAGCUUUAUGUGUCUGCUGUUUAUUUUCCAGACAUUAACUUAGCUUCUUAGUAGUGCCAUUCUCUUUUGCUCCUUUCCGUAUGUCUCUCAUAAGAAAGCAUCACGAGUUUCCACAUUCAUCUCACAUCUUGUGUCCUUAUCUCUGGUAUCAGUUUUAUUUUCUACAGAUAUACCUUCAAUUUUAUUCCAUAAUCCAAGUAUCAUUUUCCUGAUGUUUUUCCUCUGUUUUAAGCUUGAUUGCUAAUCUCUCUUUAUUAAUCACACAUAAAGUGUUCUUUCCCCCUUUCUUUAUUUAUAUUUGUUUGGUUUUAAUCCGGGCCAGACAGAAUGUGGUUUGUCCACUGUGGCUGAAGGCAGUUAAAUGGGCUGCUGGCUGUUCCUCUUGAUGGGUUAUGCAUGUACUACUCAAAAACAGAAAGUGAACUGACUUUCCAUCACGGUACAUUACCAAAAUCGGACAGUUCUUAUAUGACGCUGAAAGACCUGUUUUGAGGAACUUCCAAGGUGUGAAGUGUCAGCUGACACCUUCUCCGGCAAAAGAAAGGAAUACAGGAGAUCGGUACUGAGACCCUGAGGAACAUGACAAAUGAACAUAUGUAUGAAGGGCCAAAAUGCACAGUUCCCUGUGCCUUAAAGAGUAUUUCAGGUUUCUUGCUCAAGAAAAUUGUAUGUAUUUCAUACGACAGAAUACUUUGCAUUAAAAAGAAGUAAAUAGAAUUGUGAAUAUGUCAAAUGCUACAGUAUUUUCUUAUACAAUAAGGUAUUUUUCUGCUCUGUAUCAGAGACACUUCUGUGUAUGUUUUUAUGGAUUUUUGUGUUUCAUUACACAUAUUUUUUAUAACUGUCAGUCUGUUUUAAUCUGAAAAUUGUAGAGUGAUUUGUUUAUAAUCAAACCUACUGCCAUCAAGACUAUUCUAUUUAAUUUUACUUAUUAUUCCAAUGUCACCAAGUUAAUAUGAGUGAAAUAUAUAUGUUUAAAAAGUGUAUCUUACUAGGAAAGUAUAUAAGAAUACCAACCAAAUAUUUAACAAUGAUAUUUUUAUACAUGAAUGAUGUUUACUUAUCUUCAUUUAAGAAUUAUGUUUAACUGUUUGUGCAAAUAAAAUAAUGUUUACUUUCAUUUCAUAAUUCAGCUUAUUAUCCCAGUGCAGCAGUUCAUACCCAUCUUCACUAUCUAGACGCAGUAAAGUGAAGAGGAAAAUUUGA